CUUCUUCAUGAGGAUGAGUUCCUCCCUCAUACCUUCAACCUCCAUUUCCAGAUCUGUGGUGGUAAUGGUCAGACCAUCUAGGAUCUUACGCAGUGCCUCAACUUCAACUUCCAUGUCUUUUGUGAAGAAGAGCUCAUUCUCAUACCUUUGGGAGAAUUAAAUGAGGAAAGAAUAAAUAAUGUCGACAAGAAUGAACUUACUUGAAACCGAAGUCAUCUACUGCCAUUCUGGCAUUGUCAAUCUGAAGGAUAAUCUUGGCAUUGGCUGAAUUGGAUGAAGACCAGCAACUGUAUUGGUGGGAUGAUGCCGACCAGAGGAUGGCUGACAGCAAACUAAGUCGG